UCUCCUGUGGCCUAGUGGUUAGAGCGCCAGCCUCAGAUGCAGGAGGUCAUGGGUUCAAUCCCCGGUCGAGUCAU